UCCCUGAUGGCUCAAUUGGUAAAAGAAUCCACCUGCAACAUGGGAGACCCAGGUUCGAUCCCUGGGUUGGGAA
rnacentral:tRNA from 1 species